rnacentral:rRNA from 1 species
GAUGAACGCUGGCGGCGUGCCUAAUACAUGCAAGCCGAGCGAACGGACGAGAAGCUUGCUUCUCUGAUGUUAGCGGCGGACGGGUGAGUAACACGUGGAUAACCUACCUAUAAGACUGGGGUAACUUCGGGAAACCGGAGCUAAUACCGGAUAAUAUUUUGAACCGCAUGGUUCAAAAGUGAAAGACGGUCUUGCUGUCACUUAUAGAUGGAUCCGCGCUGCAUUAGCUAGUUGGUAAGGUAACGGCUUACCAAGGCAACGAUGCAUAGCCGACCUGAGAGGGUGAUCGGCCACACUGGAACUGAGACACGGUCCAGACUCCUACGGGAGGCAGCAGUAGGGAAUCUUCCGCAAUGGGCGAAAGCCUGACGGAGCAACGCCGCGUGAGUGAUGAAGGUCUUCGGAUCGUAAAACUCUGUUAUUAGGGAAGAACAUAUGUGUAAGUAACUGUGCACAUCUUGACGGUACCUAAUCAGAAAGCCACGGCUAACUACGUG